GGUGCUGACAACACCAAGUCAAGGGUUAAGAUCCCCUUACCGGUCAUCUUUUAAAAAAAAAAAAAAAGAGAAAAGAGGCCUCCUUGAGGUCAGUGUCCUCUCUUUCUGGGGAGGGACUUGCUUUUUUGCUCCAAUAGUGGCCUCCUCCAGGCUUCAUAGUUCUUUGUAAUAUGUUGAAGUUAAUUUAAACUGAUUUUGUUGAACUGUGUAUUUAAGCUAUGGCAUUAAAAAAGGCUUUCUUCUACAUAAA